UACGAAGGGUGCAAGCGUUACUCGGAAUUACUGGGCGUAAAGCGUGCGUAGGCGGUUUGUUAAGUCUGAUGUGAAAGCCCCGGGCUUAACCUGGGAAUGGCAUUUGGGACUGCAAGGCUUGAGUGCGGCAGAGGAGACUGGAAUUCCUGGUGUAGCGGUGAAAUGCGUAGAUAUCAAGUGGAACACCAGUGGCGAAGGCGAGUCCCUGGACAACUCCUGACGCUGAGGCGCGAAAGCUAGGGGAGCAAACAGG
rnacentral:rRNA from 1 species